CACUACGCCAUAAUGGAUCAGCUAAAAAACGAUGCUUUCUAUAAUCAGUCCAUGCAAAUACAAGUCCCAAAUCCUCCCUUCACUGAUUUCCAUCAACAGCAACCACUGCCUUCUGUCUCUCAUGCCAGGUCCAGUCAAAGGCCAGAUUCAGAAGUCAAGGAUAGUGCAGCUGCAAGAAAAAUUCAGAAGGCUGAUCGUGAGAG
rnacentral:misc_RNA from 1 species